rnacentral:rRNA from 1 species
GACGAACGCUGGCGGCGUGCCUAAUACAUGCAAGUUGAGCGCUGAAGGUUGGUACUUGUACCAACUGGAUGAGCAGCGAACGGGUGAGUAACGCGUGGGGAAUCUGCCUUUGAGCGGGGGACAACAUUUGGAAACGAAUGCUAAUACCGCAUAAAAACUUUAAACACAAGUUUUAAGUUUGAAAGAUGCAAUUGCAUCACUCAAAGAUGAUCCCGCGUUGUAUUAGCUAGUUGGUGAGGUAAAGGCUCACCAAGGCGAUGAUACAUAGCCGACCUGAGAGGGUGAUCGGCCACAUUGGGACUGAGACCCGGCCCAAACUCCUACGGGUGGCAGCCGUAGGGCAUCUUCGGCAAUGGACGAAAGUCUGACCGAGCAACGCCGCGUGAGUGAAGAAGGUUGUCGGAUCGUAAAACUCUGUUGGUAGAGAAGAACGUUGGUGAGAGUGGAAAGCUCAUCAAGUGACGGUAACUACCCAGAAAGGGACGGCUAACUACGUG